AUUGAACGCUGGCGGCAGGCCUAACACAUGCAAGUCGAACGAGUGGCGGACGGGUGAGUAAUGUCUGGGAAACUGCCUGAGGGAGGGGGAUAACUACUGGAAACGGUAGCUCAUACCGCAUACCAUCGGAUGUGCCCAGAUGGGAUUAGCUAGUAGGUGGGGUAAAGGCUCACCUAGGCGACGAUCCCUAGCUGGGCUGAGAGGAUGACCAGCCACACUGGAAAUGAGACACGGGCCAGACUCCUACGUGAGGCAGCAGUGGGGAAUAUUGCACAAUGGGCGCAAGCCUGAUGCAGCCAUGCCGCGUGUAUGAAGAAGGCCUUCGGGUUGUAAAGUACUUUCAGCGGGGAGGCGUUACCCGCAGAAGAAGCACCGGCUAACUCCGUGCCAGCAGCCGCGGUAAUAC
rnacentral:rRNA from 1 species